GGACUACAAGGGUAUCUAAUCCUGUUUGCUACCCACGCUUUCGUGGUUCAGCGUCAGUUGUGGUCCAGAAAGCCGUUUACACCACCGGUGUUCCUCCUGAUAUCUACGCAUUUCACCGCUACACCAGGAAUUCCACUUUCCUCUCCCACACUCUAGUCCCGCAGUUUAUAGCGCACCCUCCCGGUUAAGCCGGGAGAUUUCACACCAUACUUACAGAACCGCCUACGCACCCUUUACGCCCAGUAACUCCGAACAACGCUUGCUGCCUACGUAUUACCGCGGCGGCUGGCAC
rnacentral:rRNA from 1 species